rnacentral:rRNA from 1 species
GACGAACGCUGGCGGCGUGCUUAACACAUGCAAGUCGAACGAAGAGCGAUGGAAGCUUGCUUCUAUCAAUCUUAGUGGCGAACGGGUGAGUAACGCGUAAUCAACCUGCCCUUCAGAGGGGGACAACAGUUGGAAACGACUGCUAAUACCGCAUACGAUCUAAACUCGGCAUCGAGGAUAGAUGAAAGGUGGCCUCUACAUGUAAGCUAUCACUGAAGGAGGGGAUUGCGUCUGAUUAGCUAGUUGGAGGGGUAACGGCCCACCAAGGCGAUGAUCAGUAGCCGGUCUGAGAGGAUGAACGGCCACAUUGGGACUGAGACACGGCCCAGACUCCUACGGGAGGCAGCAGUGGGGAAUCUUCCGCAAUGGACGAAAGUCUGACGGAGCAACGCCGCGUGAGUGAUGACGGCCUUCGGGUUGUAAAGCUCUGUUAAUCGGGACGAAAGGCCUUCUUGCGAAUAGUGAGAAGGAUAGACGC